rnacentral:rRNA from 1 species
UUCGGCUUGGGAUGGGCUCGCGGCCUAUCAGCUUGUUGGUGGGGUGAUGGCCUACCAAGGCGACGACGGGUAGCCGGCCUGAGAGGGCGACCGGCCACACUGGGACUGAGACACGGCCCAGACUCCUACGGGAGGCAGCAGUGGGGAAUAUUGCACAAUGGGCGGAAGCCUGAUGCAGCGACGCCGCGUGAGGGAUGACGGCCUUCGGGUUGUAAACCUCUUUCAGCAGGGACGAAGCGUAAGUGACGGUACCUGCAGAAGAAGCGCCGGCCAACUACGUGCCAGCAGCCGCGGUAAGACGUAGGGCGCGAGCGUUGUCCGGAUUUAUUGGGCGUAAAGAGCUCGUAGGCGGCUUGUCGCGUCGACCGUGAAAACCUGGGGCUCAACCCCAGGCCUGCGGUCGAUACGGGCAGGCUAGAGUUCGGUAGGGGAGACUGGAAUUCCUGGUGUAGCGGUGAAAUGCGCAGAUAUCAGGAGGAACACCGGUGGCGAAGGCGGGUCUCUGGGCCGGUACUGACGCUGAGGAGCGAAAGCGUGGGGAGCGAACAGGAUUAGAUACCCUGGUAG